ACGGAGGGUGCGAGCGUUGUCCGGAAUCAUUGGGCGUAAAGGGCGCGUAGGUGGCCCGGUCAGUUCGUGGUGAAAGCGCGGGGCUCAACCCUGCGUCGGCCAUGAAUACUGCCGCGGCUGGAGCACUGUAGAGGCAGGCGGAAUUCCGGGUGUAGCGGUGGAAUGCGUAGAGAUCCGGAAGAACACCGGUGGCGAAGGCGGCCUGCUGGGCAGUUGCUGACACUGAGGCGCGACAGCGUGGGGAGCAAACAGGA
rnacentral:rRNA from 1 species